rnacentral:lncRNA from 1 species
UACAAAAGGAGUAGGGUGCAGAGUAAGUCACUCACAUAUGUCUGGAUUCCUUGAACUUUGUAGAAAAGAAGGGUAGGCGUAAUCCAGCCACCGUAUCCAAGAGGAACAAACCAUGGUUUGCUUCCUCUGUCAUGUUGGUCUGCUAUCAUAUGUAGAAUGAAAUGUCAGGAGACUAUUUUAAUUAGGAGAUGAUUAUGAUUAAUGAUUGUAUUUAUAUCCCACACAUUUCCUCCAUGGAGCUCAAGGUAGCACCCAUGGUCUUUCCCUGCCCCUCCCCCUAUUUCAUAGUCACAACAAUCCCAAGAGAUAUGUUACGUUGAGAGAUAAUGACUGACACAAGCUCACCUAAUAAGCUUCAUGGCUCAGUGCAGAUUUGAUUUUGGGUCUCUUCAAUCCUGCCACUUGAUCUCAGCUAUGAUCCCGCUAGUAAGAAAUGGUCUGGUCUUCUCCUUUGCCUUUAGAUCAAUUAGCAGCUGAUUGAUCUGAGGAUAUCAGCAGACAGAGCUUUUCAUGGCACACAAAAUACACAUUAUUACCUCCUUCACACAAUGCACACAUGAUGGAGGUCCACAAAUAAGGCAGGGAACAGGGGAAUGAUGCUGAAAAUGCUACCUGAAAUUUCAUGCAGAAUUCAUCCCCUUCCCCGUUUAUUGUCAGGGAAAGAUUUUUCUCUAAUUCGGCAUUGGAGCAUAAAUGAAAACGCAUAUGGAAAAACCUCCAGCUCCUUUAUUAAGACCACCAAUUUAUUAAAUUCACCAAUCACUAUCCUGUAUUAAUUUUGGAUGAUCUUGCACCAGGGCAGUGCCUUGUUGUGAUUGUGUACUCAUAACUAAACAUAUUAAAAAUAAGAAAUUUAGAUUGAUUAAUCUUCAAUCAUGUCAGCAACCUUAUUCAUAUUGGAGUCAGCCUUACACUUUGUAACUCCAAGCAAAUUUUUGAUGGGUCUAGGCCUCUCAAACAGCUGGCCCACAGUUUAGUAUGAAAUAGGCAAGUCAAUGCACAAUGCUAAUCAAUAAUGUUGACACAUAUUUCUAAAACUGCUUUUUUCAACUCAUGCUCAAAUGAAAUUGGCUUUAAUUUCAGUGGGUGUAUGGAUAUCCGUUUUUAUGCAUGUUUCCAAGCUAAGCUCCCCAAUGGGAGAAAGGGCCAAACAUAAAUCAAGCAAACAAAAUUCAGUUGUGCACUGAAACACACACCCUGUGCCCAAUGACAAUGUAAAAUAGGAUAGCACAAUGCAAUUUUAUUUCUCCACCCUUCUCUUCUGCCCUUUAUUGAUCUUCUAAACAGAUCUGUGCAAAUGCUGUUAUACAAGAUCAAUAAGCCAUGCUCAGAACAGGUCACAAAAUAUAUUGACAUUUUCAUCUUGGCAAUUAUAAAGAAGCUGCAUAAUAGCAAUCAGAAUGAUUGGCAUUAAACAAAGAACUGGAAGCACAAUUGUGUGAGGUUUAUCAUCUGGUAUGAGGCUUAUUGAUACAUUCUUGGCUGUGCUUUGUUUUGUUUGGGAUGUAAUGACUAAUUGCUCAUGAUUCACAAAAGAUGCUACAAGUAGGUAGCGCACCUGUCCCAUUGCCCAGAUAGGAUAAUGUAACUGUAUGCUAUAUCUCUAUGUGGAAAGACCAACAGAAGUAUAUUUUUGGAACAGAGACUGUAAUAGAGAGAGAGCUGAGAUGGGAGCUGUAAGCUAAACAAAUCUUGAGGUGCAAAAAGGAGCCAUUUCCCAACCAAGCAAUAAAAGUCUGUUGUAUUAGCCACAGAACAUUACAGUACGUUCAAUAGAACUAAAUUCUCUUCUUUUAAAUCUCUUGAUUCACUUCAAUUUGUAAAGGAAAAGAAAAGAGAGAGAGAAAGGAGCCAUAUUAUUAAUUGUGUAGAUUACCACUUUUCUUAAUACUUUUAGAAUUUAAGCUGCUCUGGCUGUGGAGUAAGUCUAUUUUUUGAAAUAUAUGUCACUGGGAAUGAGAGGCUGUACAUUUAAUAUGACCUUUGCAACUUUUGAAUAAUUUCCAGCUGACUUCCAGUCUUCAGCAAUUUCUCUGAGAAAAUACCUCCCGCUUAAUUAAUUGAAGAAAGUGUUAAAAGUAUCCAGUUGCUUGACCCUCAGUUUUAGUAGGUUAAUACACCUUCUGAUAAGAACCACUAUCUGCUUUUCUGGUAUAUCAAUUUAUGGUAAUAGCACAUUAUAUUCAACAGUUUUCAAAAUUAAUCAGAAACAUUUGGUCAACACACAUAUUUCAACAGAUUUCAUUAUUUGAUUGCUUUUCUAAGUCAAAGUUAUUGUUGUACUUUUUUGUUUUAAAGAUCCUCAAUCUGUGGCUCUAGUUACUAAGUAUGGUACUGUACACCAUAUUUUUUGUCAUUAUACUGUCCUUGAGAAAUUCGGGUGCCUAUUUGGGGUCAUUAAUGUACUCCAUUUAUGCGGGAAAUUUUUUCUUCAGUUCAUCCAGUGAUUAUUUUCCACUACAUGUGGAAAUUGUGCAAUAGACAUACAAGUGUCCUUUAAAAUAUGAAUAUUGGAAUAUUAUGAGGAUUGCCUUUGUGUCUGUCAUUCAAGGAAGACACCGGAAAAACUAGCUCAUAUUGCACUGUCCUUUGUCCUUUGAGACAAGACAAUACCAUUGGUUAAUACUUAUUGUGGAUGAAAUCAAUCUUAUCUCUUUCAUAACCAAAACUUGCAUUUUGGGUGUUAAUCCUGGAGGACCUGCUUGCUGCCCUGACUGACUUCAGCUACGAAAGCUGAGGCUGCUGAACAGAAUAUUGGGCAGGGGUUUUGUUUAUGGGUUUUUGUUGUAGGGUCAUUGUUAAUGAUGCUACUUUUUGUAUCUUUAUUUUGGAUCUUAUGAUUUAUGUGGAAGCUGUUUAAUUUGGUUGUGUACUUUUUUGUGCUUUGUUUAUCCUUUUGUUAUAUUUGUAGCUAUGCAUUUUUUAAAAAUAUGUUGUCAACUACCUUGGACAUGGCUUCAACUUUGGAAAGAUGGCGUACAAAUAAAAUGAUUGAUUGAUUGAUUGGUCUACUAAAUGACAAAGAUUCUGAAAGCACAAGAUGCAUGGCAUCCUUUACUAUGACAAUGACUAGAAUUAAAGCAAAGUGUGAAAUAUUUCAGCUAUUAUUUCCCAAUUUAUUGUCAUUGUGACAGCUUUUGAGUUAUUGGGUGUAUCAUUUUAUUUUUUUAAUUAAAUUAUUGUAUGCGUUGAUCAUAGUACAUAUGGAACAGAUUUUUGAAAGUGCUGUGAAGUGAAUUGUUGUGGUUUGAAAACCCUGAAGCAUGAGUUGGAGGAUAAGAUUAGAUUCAAAACUUACAUUCACCAUUUGUAUAUAGUCCUCACCUAUGCAACAGGUUAAAAUUUAAAACUUUAUGUUGGAACUUACAAGUUGAGAGCUCAAAAUCCAGAUCUGGGUUUUGAUGCUGAGUCCCACUCAAACACUGUUAAAUACACAUCUUGGCAUUGAUUAGGAAGUCAAAGAAUAUUCAAGUUAUGUGUGCUGAAAAUGGAAGGACUGGUGUGUUUCCAUUACAGCUCACAUUUCUUCAAAAAUCGCUUAUCAUAUAAUCUCACUCGCACAGUGAUGUGAAGUAAGAAAACAACACUCAAUUAGAUUGUGUAAAGAAGUGGAACAUGUUUCAUAUAAUUUUCUCCCCUUUAAUUUUAUGGCAGGAAGUUUAUCAAUCUCUGAUGGGAAAUCAUUUUUAAGUCAUAUAAAAUCUGUGCAAAUAAUUGACUCCCUUCAAAUUCCUUUCUGGAGAAAUCUUUGUGUCAAGCAUUUUUCUCAUAAUAUAUUCCAUAAAUUAAAAGUUAAGUGAACUGUAUGUGAAGAAGCCCUGGAAACAUGUGACCAUCAGUGUCAAGUAUUAAUUGAAUGGUUUCUGUUUCCUCGUAAUUUGAUAAUAAAUCUCCUGGCUUUUAAGUGGUACAAGCUAAUAUCAAUGGAAAAAUCAUUUAGUUUUCAAUAAGGAGAGGUUAUUUCUUCUGCUCUAGAAGGUAAUAUCCUGACCAAUACAAAGAAGGUAGUAAAUAUUCUUCUUUGUCUAUAAAGCUUUAGCAGACCAAUCACUCACUGUCAACAUGCGGACUUUGAACACCAAUCUUGAAUGAUACAUUAUUCAACUGCCAGGAAAGGAAGACUGUGCCCAUCAUGGGCUGAGUGAUUUCCAUCUGCUCAGCCUUGCUCCCUUGCCUCAGAAAAUUUUGGUGGAAGUUGCUGCCUUGUAUGACAUUAGGGAACAGCAAGGAUGAGGUCUGGAAAUGCUGCAAGUUCCAUACGGGCACCAUGCAAUUUUUGUUCCUGUGCUAGAUCUGAGUGCAAUUUUAUGUUAAGAAUCUUCUGUAAGCUGCUUUGAAAGUCUCUAGAGGCUGUAAAACAGGCUAUACAUAUUUUAAAUAAAUAUUCAUUCAUUUCCAUCCAGCUUAUUCAGAAUCAAGAAUUUUCUGAGUUAAACAAUUAGUCAAAUGUUAAAAUCUAGCUAUUCAUUUUUAGUAUAAAAUAUCCUGUACUGUGGACACAGGCCCAUAUUUAGGAAACUAUACCAAAUCACAAGUGAUUAGAAAGCAUGUAAGUUAUAUUGGGGCAUGUCACUCAUUUGUAAAGACUACAAAUGAGUGGGGCUGAAUGUGCUAAGGUCCUGUAUACUAUGCCUGUCGCUCUGCAUGACUUGAAGAGCCAAAUCUGAAGCUCAACCACUUGUGAAGGAUCCCUAUGUGAUAUAGAACCCCAUUUUUUCAGGCAGUUCCUCACUUCAGACUUGUGGAGUCACUCAGCCACUUGUGGAGAGCACCAAGUACAGCAACAUAGCAGGGUGCAGAGCUUAGAGCACUUGUCCCCACUUGGUCUAUUUGUGUGCAAAAGCCUUUACCCACAAGUAACAUACCCAAAUAGGGCUAUAUCUGGGGCCUAAUAUGAGGGCUGUGUUGAGGUGAGGCCUGUGUGCCCCAUUCUAUGCAUGGACCUCCUUCACACGAGUAAUAUAUGAUGGGAACUUUCCAUUUUUAUAAGUGUUACACCAACAAAUAGUCUCAAAAUCUUCUUGCUGACAAUGAGUGAUCACUAGAAAUAGCCCCACGCUUAUAAUAUUUGACACCCUGAUUUGCCCAGCAUAUACUGGCAUUCAGGGAACAAGAGCACAUUGUAAGGAAACUCUUCUAGUUGCUUCCCAUCAGUUAGGGUCCCAAAUAACUCAGUUGGUUAGAGCAUGGUGUUGAUAAUGCAAAGGUUGCAAGUUCGAUCCCCCUAAGGGGCAGCUGCAUAUUCUUGCAUUUCAGGGAAUUGGAUUAGAUGAUCCCCGGGUUGCCCUCCAACUCUAUGAUUCUAUGAAAUGUCUGCUUACCAAUUGAAGAGGUUAGAUCCAAAAAAUGCUUUUGCUGGCACAGGCAGAACACGGGUAGGUUCACCAGUUUAAUGCAGGACCUCUGUGGAUCUGACAUCCACUCUUUUAAUAUGGAUCAUAUCUUAGCCGAGAGACCUAGCCAGCCACUGCCUGACACUUCUAGCAUCCCAGUAAAAUGAAGGGGUGGUGGAAGUCGUUGGGUAAUUAUAGUAAUGCAGGAAUGACCAAGUUGUGACUCAUAAGAAACAUUUCUCUCAAAAUGGAAUCAGCACCCUAUUAAUCAAGAAUGCAUUUGGGUGUAUUUAAAUGUUGCAAAAAAACAUUAAUUAGAACGUUACUGCAAAUAUGUAGAGGAAUUAAUUGGUCUUUUCUCCUCAAAUAUACGGACAAUGUUUCUCAUUCACGUUUCAAGGAAAUAAAAUCAUUAGUCUCCUAUGCACAGAAUUAUAUAUGUGGUUUACUUAUUACAAUGGCUCCCAAACACUUCCAGCCGGCAGCAGACCUUGAAAUAUGGCAUGGAAGAUUCCUGAGCCCCUUGGCUCCUAAGCAAUUCGUCUUGAUGUCUGCUCAGAUCUCUGCAAAUUCCAAGUGGGAGUUUGUGGCUGGAGUAGGGAAUACAUAUAUAAUACGUUUAUAAGGCAAACUAUGCAGCUCUCUUCCUUCUCAUCCCCCUUUGUGACAUCUCAGAGGCUACAACAAAUUGCUGAUUGAUUAUGGCAGAGGAAGGAAAUAUUUGUUUUGAGGGAAGAGAGCACGGCCUGUGGGGACAUCUGUCUACCCUAUUCUCAUUAAGUUUAACACACAUGAGGGUUGUCUUUAAGGGACUUGUCAUGACACAACAAUAUCUGAACUUCUUUUAGUCUCCGAUCUGUCACAUUUUCAUCUUGCUCUUUCUCCAUUUAUCUUAUCUCAUUGCAGCCUUUUGAGGUUGCUUAAGAUACAUUCCUUAAGCCACCAGGAAGAUCUAUAUAUGAGCAUGGAAUUAAAGCCAGAUUUCCCUAGCUGACAGUCCCCACCACACCUUUUUAUGGGUGUAUUCUGCACCAUGUCAUUGACACAAGAACACUACAUGGCUACUGGACUGUCAACACCCUAUUCCACUUUAUUAAUUGUUUUGUGGAUGUUUCUCCAGUGUUACUGCAUUCUUGCCAUCUGGAGGGGCACUCCAGGAAAGAUUCGAGAUUUCAACAGGAAGCUACAGGACAUACACCAAUCGGAAAUGAAGCAGUAUGACCACCCAAAACUAUUGUAGGUGCAAACAUUAUUUAUAACUGGAGUACAUAUAAUUGCCCCAAUAUAAUUGUGAGAACAAAUCAUUAGGAAUGCACAAUAAAAGGUUGUCUGGAGACUACCCCAAGCUCAGCUCUCCAUCUUGUACACUUAUCAAGUAGUUUCAUGAACUGACACAGACAGACAGACAGACAGACAGACAGACAUACUAUUUUUUAGGUCAAAUAUAUAUUUUCAAGCCAGCAGCGAGAUUUAGCCAAAAUGUAAAUGCUUACUGGUCACACAUUAAAGUGUGUUCAGGGGAAUGGGCAUUAAAUCACUUUCAUUUGAGCCACAGCUAUUCCUCUGUUGGUAAUAUUUAGUUAUUGAGAAACAUGAUUCAGUUUAAUAUUAGAAAUCAGCUUCUCUCCUGCCUCUAAUUAUUUACAUGAGAUUAAUAUUUUGUUUCUCUAAACUGAAGUUAUAAAAAUGCAAUCUCAAUACAAGUUUGAGCUAGAGUUGGAUUAAAGUCAUGACUAUAAAUCCUAAUACCUAUGGUUAAGCAGACUUCAACUUUCAGGAUGAACUCACGUCAUGCAAUUGUCAAAAGAAAAUGCUGAACAAACACCUGUGUCUAACAUUGUUAUAUUUAUUGCCUGAAAACAGAUGGUCGAUAUUAGCCUGCACAUUAACUAAUAGCACCAAUGAUGCCCCUGCCCAUACAAUAUCAUAGUUAAUAGCAAUCAUAAUGUCUUGCUACCACAAUAAUUGGCUUCCUCAGAAAUCGAUGGACUCCAUUUCUGACGCAGACAGAACAGUUGAAAAAAACAUUUUGCAUUUAGAAAGGGUUGUUUAUUCAGGUAACAUGGAAUUUAGAAAAAAUAAGAUGGAUUUAUUGGACCGUGUGUGUGUGUUUGUGUAAAUUGCUACAACAUUGAUGCAUGAAAGCCAGUGGCAGUGCAGAAGAGUCUGCUAGGUUGGAAGUCCUGAAAUACACUGAAAUCCAGGCAUACUUGGUUGCCCCAUCUAUUAAAAAAUCAUUGUUGUUUUAAUAAUAUACUGUUUGUUUUAGAAUGUACAACCACUUAGAGAUUCUUGAAAUAUUUUAAUAUUUUUGAAAUAUUAAGUGGUAUAUAAGUUCUGUAC